rnacentral:rRNA from 1 species
GAUGAACGCUGGCGGCGUGCCUAAUACAUGCAAGUCGAACGAGGUGCCUUUGUAGCAAUACGAGGGUAUCCUAGUGGCGAGCGGGUGAGUAACGCGUUGGUGACCUGCCCCGAAGUGUGGGAUAACAGUCCGAAAGGACUGCUAAUACCGCCUGCGGUCAUCGGGUUUAGAAGCCGAUGACCAAAGCAGCAAUGCGCUUUGGGAGGGACCUGCGUCCCAUCAGCUAGUUGGUAGGGUAACGGCCUACCAAGGCUACGACGGGUAGGGGACCUGAGAGGGGGACCCCCCACAAUGGAACUGAAAUACGGUCCAUACACCUACGGGUGGCAACAGUAGGGAAUAUUGCACAAUGGGCGAAAGCCUGAUGCAGCAACGCCGCGUGCACGAUGAAGGUCUUCGGAUCGUAAAGUGCUUUUCUGGAGAUGAGAAUGGACAGUAUCCCAGGAAUAAGUCUCGGCUAACUACGUGCCAGCCGCCGCCGUAACAC